GCGUGCCUAAUGCAUGCAAGUCGCACGACCCAGACUUCGGUCUGGAGAGUGGCGCACGGCUGAGGAACACGUGGGUAACCUACCCCGGCGUGGGGGACAACGGCCCGAAAGGGUCGCUAAUCCCGCAUACGCUCCUACGGGAGGAAAGCAGUGAUGCGCGCUGGGAUGGGCCUGCGGCCCAUCAGGUCGUUGGUGGGGUAAUGGCUCACCAAGCCAAUGACGGGUCCCUGGUCUGAGAGGACGACCAGGCAGACUGGGACUGAGACACGGCCCAGACUCCUACGGGAGGCAGCAGCAAGGAAUUUUCCGCAAUGGGCGCAAGCCUGACGGAGCAACGCCGCGUGCCGGAUGACGGCCUUCGGGUUGUAAACGGCUUUUAUCGGGGAAGAAACGGACGGUACCCGGUGAAUAAGCCCCGGCUAACUCCGUGCCAGCAGCCGCGGUAAUACGGAGGGGGCAAGCGUUGUCCGGACUUACUGGGCGUAAAGCGUGCGUAGGCGGCAGCGUGCGUCGGGACUGAAAGCGCCCCACUUAACGGGGCGAGGUGUCUCGAUACGACGCAGCUCGAGGCAGUGAGAGGUUGGUAGAAUUCCGGGUGUAGUUGUGAAAUGCGUAGAUAUCCGGAGGAAUGCCGGUGGCGUAAGCGACCAACUGGCACUGGCCUGACGCUGAGGCACGAAAGCGUGGGGAGCAAACCGGAUUAGAUACCCGGGUAGUCCACGCCGUAAACGAUGUCGGCUUGGUGUUUGGGGGUGUGAAAGCAUCCUUGAGUACCGUAGCUCACGCGAUAAGCCGACCGCCUGGGGACUACGAGCGCAAGCUUAAAACUCAAAGGAAUUGACGGGGGCCCGCACAAGCAGCGGAGCGUGUGGUUUAAUUCGACGCAACGCGAAGAACCUUACCCAGGUUGGACAUGUAGCUGCAAGCGCACAGAAAUGUGUGACCUUCGAGGGUGCUACACAGGUGCUGCAUGGCUGUCGUCAGCUCGUGUCGUGAGAUGUUGGGUUAAGUCCCGCAACGAGCGCAACCCUCGUCUUUAGUUGCCAGCAUUAAGUUGGGCACUCUAGAGAGACUGCCGGUGACAAACCGGAGGAAGGUGGGGAUGACGUCAAGUCAGCAUGCCCCUUACGCUCUGGGCGACACACGUACUACAAUGGUCGGGACAGAGGGCAGCGAACCUGCGAAGGCAAGCUAAUCCCAGCAAACUCGGCCUCAGUUCAGAUCGCAGGCUGCAACUCGCCUGCGUGAAGGAGGAAUCGCUAGUAAUCGCCGGUCAGAAUACGGCGGUGAUCCGUUCCCGGGCAUUGUACACACCGCCCGUCACACCAUGGAAGCUG
rnacentral:rRNA from 1 species